UACAGAGGGUGCAAGCGUUAAUCGGAAUUACUGGGCGUAAAGCGUGCGUAGACGGUUGCGUAAGUCAGAUGUGAAAUCCCCAGGCUUAACCUGGGAACUGCAUCCGAUACUGGAUGGCUUGAAUCCGGGAGAGGGAUGCAGAAUUCCAGGUGUAGCGGUGAAAUGCGUAGAUAUCUGGAGGAAUACCGGUGGCGAAGGCGGCAUCCUGGACCGGCAUUGACGCUGAUGAGCGAAAGCUAGGGGAGCAAACGGG
rnacentral:rRNA from 1 species